GAGGAAGACGAUGACUAUGAGGAAUAUGUUCCGGUGGCGAAACGCCGAGCGAUAGAAGCGCAAAAGAUACUUCAAAGAAAGGGAAAGUUAUCUGCUUUAGAAGAUGAACUUGAGAAAUCCAAACUUGCUGAAGCCAAACCGAGUCUACUCGUCAAGGCUUCCCAGCUUAAGCGUGAUCAACCUGAAAUUAGUCAUACUGAGCAGAUUGUGCAACAAGAGAAAGAGAUGAUAGAGCAUUUAUCAGAUAGGAAAACUUUAAUGUCCGUUCGCGAAUUGGCUAAGGGAAUCACGUAUACUGAGCCCUUAUUGACUGGAUGGAAGCCCCCGCUUCAGAUUAGAAGAAUGCCCAGAAAUCAGUGUGAUGCGAUUAGGAAACAGUGGCACAUUAUAGUUGAUGGGGAAGACAUCCCUCCACCGAUAAAGAAUUUUAAAGAUAUGAGGUUUCCGGAACCAAUUCUGAAGAAGUUAAAAGCUAAAGGCAUUGUGCAGCCUACUCCUAUCCAGGUGCAGGGUCUUCCUGUGAUCUUAUCUGGAAGGGAUAUGAUUGGGAUUGCUUUUACCGGCUCUGGGAAGACCCUUGUUUUUGUGCUUCCCAUGAUUAUGAUUGCUUUACAGGAGGAGAUUAUGAUGCCCAUCGCCCCAGGAGAAGGACCCUUUGGUUUGAUCAUUUGUCCAUCAAGAGAGCUUGCUAGACAAACUUAUGAAGUGGUGGAACAGUUUUUAAUUCCAAUGAGAGAGGCUGGGUGUCCAGAGUUGAGGCCGUUACUGUGUAUUGGUGGAGUGGAUAUGAGGUCACAGUUGGAGGUUGUGAAGAAAGGCGUGCACAUUGUUGUUGCAACCCCUGGGAGGUUGAAAGACAUGCUAGCAAAGAAGAAAAUGAAUUUGGAUAACUGCAGGUAUUUGACAUUGGAUGAGGCUGAUAGAUUGGUAGAUUUGGGCUUUGA
rnacentral:misc_RNA from 1 species